UUGGAAUCUCUCUUAUCUUUCCUUAAUUAUUCUCCAAAGUCCAAACCUUGGUCACACGCACGCGCGCAUAUACACACACAUAGGCACACUCUUUUUCUCUCUCUUACACGCUCCUUCUGUGAUUCGUGCCGGAACACAUCUCCGACCGAUCAAUCGCCGGUAUUCCGGUGAUCCUUUCACCACUCUUAUUCCCGCCCCUACUCGACCACUUUCCAUCACUUGCAUUUCCCACCGUUUUGUCAGAUCCGUCGCCGUUUGGGUUGUGAUGCGAAAAUAUUGGGAGCACAAUAAGAAUUGUUCAUGGAUUAGGAAGAUCCUACAACCCUGUUUCCAUGCCUCCACUCACUUCACUCUCUCUCAAUCCAAUCACCAUCGCUACCACCACCACCACCUCCUCCUGAAUUCGCUUCUCAGAAAAACACCUUAGGGUUAGGGUUUCAAUUUUUUCAUCACAAAAUGUUCAAUAGAAUCAUGAAGAGAGGGCCGAAAAAGCCCUCCAAAUCAGAUGACUUCGGUGCUCCCGACGGCAAUCCAUUGCCUAACGCCGCCGGCGUCGUCGUCAACCAUGCUUCUCGCGGCGGAGCUGCCCCUCCGGCCGGCGCUGCCGCGGCUCCGACGAUGCCUCCGCCUUCCGGCACUAUUGAACCGUUGCCCCCGUUCCGCGAUGUGCCGGUCUCGGAGCGGCAGACCUUGUUCCUCCGGAAGCUCCAGAAUUGCUGCUUCUUGUUGGACUUCUCCGACACAUUGAAGAACGUUCGGGAGAAGGAGAUCAAGCGGCAAACGCUGAUGGAGCUCGUAGAUUUUAUCCAAUCGGGUUCUGGAAAGAUCACGGAGAAUUGCCAGGAGGAGAUGAUAAAGAUGAUAUCGGUUAACAUUUUCCGGUGCCUUCCACCGGCGUCGCACGAGAACACCGGGGCAGAGAACAAUGACCCAGAGGAGGAGGAGCCCUCUAUGGACGCGGCCUGGCCGCACUUGCAGCUCGUCUACGAACUUCUCCUUCGGUACGUGGUUUCUUCUGAUACUGAUACCAAGGUUGCGAAACGGUACAUUGAUCAUUCAUUCGUGCUUAAGUUGCUUGAUUUGUUUGGUUCCGAGGACCCUAGAGAGCGUGAGUAUUUGAAAACAAUAUUGCAUCGUAUAUAUGGGAAAUUCAUGGUUCACAGGCCCUUCAUUAGGAAGGCGAUUAACAACAUUUUUUAUCGUUUUAUAUAUGAGACUGAGAGACAUAGUGGUAUUGGGGAGCUUCUGGAGAUUCUUGGCAGCAUCAUUAAUGGGUUUGCGCUGCCCAUGAAGGAGGAACACAAGUUGUUCCUUGUUAGGGCGCUUUUGCCCCUACAUAAGCCUAAGUCUGUUGGCAUGUACCAUCAGCAGUUGUCGUACUGUAUCUUGCAGUUUGUCGAGAAGGAUUUCAAGCUCGCGGAUACGGUUAUUAGGGGCCUGUUGAAGUAUUGGCCUGUCACGAAUUGCCAGAAGGAGGUUCUCUUCCUUGGGGAAUUGGAGGAGGUGUUGGAGGCCACACAGGCUGCGGAGUUCCAACGCUGCAUGGUUCCCCUCUUUAGACAGAUUUCCCGCUGCCUCAAUAGUUCUCACUUUCAGGUUGCAGAACGAGCCCUCUUCCUCUGGAAUAAUGAGCAUAUUGUCAGCUUAAUUGCUCAAAACAGGACUGUAGUGCUACCCAUAAUAUAUGAAGCAUUGGAGAAAAAUAUUAAGAGUCAUUGGAACCAGGCAGUUCAUGGGUUGACAGUGAAUGUUCGGAAGAUGUUUGUUGAAAUGGACGCUGAAUUGGUUGAGGAGUGCCAGAGGCAGCAUGCAGAGAGAGAGGCUAAAGCCCAUGAAGUGGAGCAGCAGCGAGAAUUGAACUGGAAAAAAUUGGCAGAGGCAGCUGCCCAGAACGGACCACUGGAUAUGGUCACAGUUUAGCCAAACUUGACUGGUUUAACUGGGACUGUGAAUUGGGUAGAUGAAGGAUUAUGAAUCUGCUCCUUGCCAUUUUGGUGCCAUUAUUUAUUGGUAAUGUGCAUUACUUAACAUUGAGGUGGUAAUCUUAUAAGUUUUUAUAUUCCAGAAAUACCCUUUCAAACAAAGUUCACUUCCCCCAAUCUGUCCUCAGUGUCUUCUCUCUUUGUCUGGAAGCUCUCCAUCAAUAAUGAAACUUUCAUUAACCAUCGGCACAACUGGCACUGACUCAACUUUCUCCUCCUCCGGGGGUAAGCGCUUCCUCUUACCCUCUGUGGUGCAUCUCCACUCUGCCCAUUGCCCUUCGCAAACGGUUCAACAACCUUUAGUUUAAGAUCUGGGCUUUCAAAUUAGAUCUGCUUCAUCUUCACUCACUGUUAGUAGUGGCUAUGGGUCAUACUUUAUUUUCAUUUCUCCACUACAUACAUAGAUAAUGAAGUUUGGAUUUUUUUUAGGAAAUAAAAUUGUAUAAUGCAUAGAUAAUGAAAUUGGAGUAUUUUAUUUUAGUAUAA